AAGGAUCUUUCUCUCCACUCUCCUUUCUCUUCCCUCUCCACACUUGUUUGUUUAUCUGACCAUUCGCGGGUUUGCAGGGGCCUCUCCCCAGGCAUUGUCUCCUCCAGCCCCCCACCCCCUCCUCGGUCAAGGCCCGGCGGCAGUGCUUGCUGGGGCUCGGAGUUUGUCCCCGCUCUGCUGCCUGUUCUGUUGUGUGCACUGGAAUAUUGAUUUUUCAGUGUGUGUGCGCCGGCUCUGUAAAAAUCAAUAUUUCAGUAGCUCGAGCACAGCGCAGGGCAGUGUAAUGGAGCCAGCCUGCUGAUGUAACGUGCGGGGUCCACCCUCAGCGAUUGAGACAUUUAAACUACUGAGCGAGACUGCUGACAGUACUCUCAAAUAUUGCCAAACUUGAGUAGACACAAGCAAAACAAGCCAGGAGAGUCGAAGUUGGAUAAAGUAAAACUAAAGAUGCUUCAAUAUAGAGAAUCACUGGAAUCUCUCCAAUGCCAGAUGAAAAAUACCUAAGUAUGAAUGAGCAGCUUUUGUCUUGUAAGUUAGUUUUAUACCUCUUUCUGUCAUUUGAAUGACUUAAUCAUUCAUAAAGAAUAGAUCAAUCAGCAGGAAAGUUUGAAGAAAAGAGAAUCCCAGAGACAAAUGCUAGGUGUGUUCAUCCUAACCCUUUGAGAAACAGCUACCCAAGGGCAGCCAGCCAACCUUCAUAUUUCAGUAUGUGGGUUUUGCCAUCAAGUAAUCUGCGGGGGUUGGAGAUUUGAACCUCCCAUCUUCAAACUGCUACCUAUGGUGGGGCUUUUAUUGGCCCCUCUAUACCUCAAUAUCAUCAUCUGUAAAAUAGGAAUAAUAAUAGUUCCCAUCACAUAGGCUAGUUGUGGGGAUGAAAUGAGAUACCAUAACCUAAGUGUAUUAGAAUGGUGCUUGGCAUGUGGUCAGCACUUAAUAAUAUCAGCUAUUAUUAUUACAAUUCCUGUAUAGUUAUUUCAACAUCAAAUGUUGCUUUUGAAAAAAUACAAUCUAAGUAUUGCAUUUGAAUGCUUCACACAGUUGAAUAUUAAGUUAAAAUCAUUAGAGUUUAAUUUUUUAAAUGAUGCUCUCCUGUGGGGCCACUGAGUCUCUUGAGCAUACAACACCACCACCACCACCCAACCCUUUCCCUGGUGGAUUUCAUGGAAUCUGAAAGACAGAAAUAGAACACAGCUGCUAUAUGUAAGUUGGGGAGGCCAAGGAAGCAACAUACCUACUGUGGCAGACACACCCUAAGGUGACCUCCAAUGAGUCACACCAUGUAUAAGCCCCUCCUCUUCAGGACGGGAAGAACCUGUGACUAUAUGUCACUGCCAUCAUUGGAAAGAGAGAGAGAGUAAGCAAGAAAGAGAGCAAGAGAAAGAGCGUAUGAGCAACUCCAUCUGGAGUCAGAGAGAGACAGACUCUCUCCUGAGCCUUGAAGAAGCAAACUUGCACAUUGUGAGCCACCCAUGGAGAGGGCCUGGAGGCAGGGACCUGUGGGCUCCUCCCGCUGAGAGCCAGGACGAAGCCAGGACCGUCCAUCAAGCAGUACCGAGAAGCUGAAUUGUUCCAACAACUUGCAUGAGCUUAGAAGCCGAUUCUUCCCUAGACCCUCCAGAUGAGAACACAUUCAAGGCCACACUUUGAUUGUGGCCUUGUGAGACUGAGUAGGGGACCCUGUUAAGCCAUGCCUGGACUCCUGGCCCACAGAAACUAUGAGAUAAUCAAAUUGCCUCUUAAGUUGCUAACUAUGUGUGACAACUUGCUGCACAGCAGUAGAAAAUGAAUACACAUGCCUUCACCUAUGGUUCCUGUUAUGGGUUGGAUAGGUUCCCCAAAAGAUGUUGCUGUUGUAAGCCCCAGUGCCUGUGAAUUGGACCUUAUUUGGAAAUUGGAAUCCUAUCACAGAUGAUCAAAUUAAGAUAAGGUCAUUAGGGUGGGCCCUAAUCCAAUUUGACCGAUUCCCUUAUAAGAAGGGGAAAUUUGGACACAGAGAGAUACAUCAGAAGGAGAAUGAUGAGAAGGCCUAAGGAGAACACCGACUCCAAGACACAGGACACCUGCAGCUUCCAGAAGCUAAGAGAGGCAUGGGGCAAAUUCUCACGGCACUCAGAAGGCACCAACCUUUCCAACACUUUGGUUUUAGACCUAGCCUUCAGAACUGCAAGGCAAUCAUUUCUGUUGUUUAAGCCACCCAGUCUGUGGCACUUUGUUUUGCCAAACCCAAGCAACUAAUACAGUUCCCAAAGGCAAGAUGCUGGGAAGGGUUGCUUUCCAGUCAUGGAUGGAAAAGGACUGAGAGGAGCAUAAAAUUCAUCCAUGCAUGCAUCCAUCCAUCCAUUCAAUAGACACAGAGCCUUUACUUUGCCAGGUGUGGCACUACACAGUCACCAGGUGCCAGGCAGGCCCUAUGUGCUAUGCAGUGAGGUUACAGAGAUCAAAGCACAGCCCUUGCCCUCAGAGAGCUCGCCAUCGAAGGGAAAGAGGGUACAGCAGGUGUAAUAUGGUUUGCCACAUGCUAGAGCCCAGGACACACAGAGUGUGGGGUGCUCACAGGAGAAACACUUAAUCUCUUCCUGAGAGAGGUAAGGAAGGUCCCAAGAAGAGAAACAUGGAAGAGGGGGUGGAAGAAGGAGAAGGGAGAGGGUGGUCUGAAGACAGGGACUCACAUGGAGUCAUAAAAGAGCAAGGACAUUCUAAGAACUACUCGCAGUUCCACGUGGCCAGAGCCAAGCGGUCAUGGGAAUGAGGUGUAAUGUGCUAGUGUGUGCCCUGCAGAAAGGUCUGAACUGUAUCCCAAAGGCUGGGGCAGCUGCUGAGGAGCCUGAUGGAAGUCAGCAACAUGACUGGAUUCAGGCAGGACUGGGGCAGAGGGUCCUGCAUCACGGCCAUGGCAGAGGAGAUGCGUUCCAGAGAUACUUAGGAGGCAGAAUUGACAGAACUUGAUGAGUGGCUGUAUUGGAGAAUUGAGGAAAAGAGAGGAGUCUAGAAUGAUUCCCAUUUCUCCUGUUGACUAAGGAGGUGGUGGUAACUUUCCCCAAGCAAGGGGAUAUGGGAAAAGCUAUAGGUUGGAAGGAAGAUCAGAUCACUUGUCAGCCCAGCAGCCAUUGCCCCUCUUUCCCUUUGCUAAGACAGCCCCAAUUUUGUUCGCUGUCCUCUAGCGGGGCGACGACAUCAGGGGAGGCUGGACCCUCUCUCUGCACCCAGGCAGACAAUCUCAUUAGGCCUAGACCUGCACUAUCCAAUAUGGCAGCCACUGGCCACUUGUGGCUAUUGCCCACACCGUCUAGCAGCUAAUUCAAACUGAGAUAUGCUGUGAGUGUUAAAUACACACUGGAUUCCAAAGUAUGGUUGAGGGGGGAAGAAUGUAAACAUAAAAUUAAUAAUUUCUUAUUUAGUUAUAUGUUAAACUAACGUUUUGGAUAUAUUGGGGUCAAUAAAAUACAUUAUUAGAACUAAUAUCUGUUUCUUUUUUUUUCUUAAAAUAUAGCUGUUAGAAAAAUGUUUAUUAUAUAUCUGGCUCCUAUUACAUUUCUACUAGACAGCACAGGUGUAGUAAAAGUUUUCUUCC
rnacentral:lncRNA from 1 species